CCAAACUAUCAUCCAUUUAUCCAAGCUCUAAACUAUCCUUCAUCCUUACCCUAAUAAUCAAUUCAGCCCAAAAACUAAAUAACCUCUGUGAUGGUCGAUUAAAUGAGAAGAAAGGAGAAGGUCGAGAUCUCUGUGAUGAAGAACCAUGAUGAUUGAAGAAGAGUGUAGAUCUGUGAAUGAGAGGAUUUGAUGUAACACAACAAACUAACACACGAAUGUAAAAGUGUUGAAGAUA
rnacentral:lncRNA from 1 species